AUGGACGCAUCGGCGACGGCGCAGAAGCGCAAGUGCCCCGACAAGGAGGAGACAGCCGGCAUGUGCGCCAACGGCUGCGGCUUCUUCGGCGCCGCCGCCACCGGCAACAUGUGCUCCAAGUGCUACCUGGACCACGUCAUCAUCGGCACCGCUAACACCGUGGCCGCCUCGACCUGGCCUCCGGAGAAGAAGGCCAAGAUUAUCGUCGCCGUCCCGUCCUCCGAUGGCGCGGGCGCUUCCUCCACCGCAGCCGCACUUGACUCCUCCGUGACGUCCGUGAAGCAGCCACCGGUGGCGGCGAACCGGUGCGCGACGUGCUGCAAGAAGCAGGGGCGGAGCCAGGAUUUGAAUAAAGGGGGGCCAAGCAGUGGCGGUGCCAGGGGUGUUUUGUGUAGUCAAUUGACUACACAGGAUUAA
rnacentral:rRNA from 1 species